rnacentral:miRNA from 1 species
GGACGGAGAACUGAUAAGGAU